rnacentral:rRNA from 1 species
GAUGAACGCUGGCGGCGUGCCUAAUACAUGCAAGUCGAGCGAACAGUCGAGGCGCUUGCUCCCCUGACUUUAGCGGCGGACGGGUGAGUAACAUGUGGAUAACAUACCUAUCAGACUGGGAUGACUACGCGAAACCGGAGCUAAUACCCGAAAAUAUAUUGAACUUCAUUGUUCACUCGUUAAAUACGGUUUUUCUUUCACUUAUAGAUGGAUCCGCGCCGCAUUAGUGAGUUGGUAAGGUAACGGCUUACCAAGGCAACGAUGCGUACCCGACCUGAGAGGGUGAUCGGACACACGGGAACUGAGACACGGUACAGACUCCUACAGGAGGAAGCAGUAGGGAAUCCUACGCAAUGGAGCAGAGCCUGACGGAGCAAAGCCGCCUAAGUGAUGAAGGUCUACGGAUGGUAAAACUCUGUAAUUAGGAAAGAAGAAAUGUGCAAGUAACUAUGAACGUAAUGACAGUACCUGGUGAGAAAGCUACGGCUAACUACGUG